rnacentral:snRNA from 1 species
AGACUACAAAUGAUACCAUGAUCAUGAAGGUGGUUUUCCCAGGGCGAGGCUUAUCCAUUGCACUCUGGAUGUGCUAACCCCUGUGAUUUCCCCAAAUGUGGAAAACUCAACUGCAUAAUUUGCGGUAGUGGGGGACUGCAUUUGCACUCUCCCC